rnacentral:rRNA from 1 species
ACUCAAAGGAAUUGACGGGGGCCCGCACAAGCAGUGGAUUAUGUGGUUUAAUUCGAAGCUACGCGAAGAACCUUACCAGGGUUUGACAUCGUACUAACGAGGCAGAGAUGCAUUAGGUGCCCUUCGGGGAGAGUACAGACAGGUGGUGCAUGGUUGUCGUCAGCUCGUGUCGUGAGAUGUUGGGUUAAGUCCCGCAACGAGCGCAACCCUUAUUGUUAGUUGCUACGCGAGAGCACUCUAGCGAGACUGCCGUUGACAAAACGGAGGAAGGUGGGGACGACGUCAAAUCAUCAUGCCCCUUAUGCCCUGGGCUACACACGUAAUACAAUGGCGUUUAACAGAGGGAAGCAAGACCGCGAGGUGGAGCAAAUCCCUAAAAGGCGUCUCAGUUCGGAUCGCAGGCUGCAACCCGCCUGCGUGAAGUCGGAAUUGCUAGUAAUCGCGGAUCAUCAUGCCGCGGUGAAUACGUUCCCGGGCCUUGUACACACCGCCCGU